AGACCGCUCGUAGUAGAAGUUCGGAGUAGACCGCUCGUAGUAGAAGUUCGGCUCUCGCAGAAGCUCGGUUGGAAUCCUGAAGGCGGUCGACCACCGUAGAAACUUGGAUGGAGUCUGAUUACUGUAGAAAUCUCGUUGUCGGAGAAGCUCGGAUAUUGACGAAGUCUGAAAGAAGUUCGAAGAAUAGUUGAUCACUGUAGAAGGUCGGCUGAUAGUGAGGCCCAGAGAGCCUUUGGAGCGGCCCGAUAGAUGGAUGGAGAAGCUCAUUGUUGAAGAAGUCCGGAUGGUAUUAUGGAAGCUCGGACGAUCGAGGGAGUUCAGAGAGAC
rnacentral:lncRNA from 1 species